rnacentral:rRNA from 1 species
GUGGGGAAUAUUGGGCAAUGGGCGAAAGCCUGACCCAGCAACGCCGCGUGAAGGAAGAAGGUUUUCGGAUCGUAAACUUCUAUCCUUGGUGAAGAUAAUGACGGUAGCCAAGAAGGAAGCCCCGGCUAACUACGUGCCAGCAGCCGCGGUAAUACGUAGGGGGCAAGCGUUGUCCGGAAUGAUUGGGCGUAAAGGGCGCGUAGGCGGCCCGGUAAGUCUGAAGUGAAAGUCCUGCUUUUAAGGUGGGAAUUGCUUUGGAUACUGUCGGGCUUGAGUGCAGGAGAGGUAAGCGGAAUUCCCGGUGUAGCGGUGAAAUGCGUAGAGAUCGGGAGGAACACCAGUGGCGAAGGCGGCUUACUGGACUGUAACUGUCGCUGAGGCGCGAAAGUGUGGGGAGCAAACAGGAUUAGAUACCCUGGUAGUCC